CAUAAAUUCAGUUGUUAGUGUACUGUAGUCCUAAUUGCUUCGAUGAAUGUCAUCAUAAACUUUCCAAUGGGCUGAGUCAGAAUUGUGCUGGAACCAGCGUCUCUCCUUGGCUGGCUUCGACCAGGUCAAUCCAUUCAGGGGAAGAAAUCUACCAGAAUAAGGAAUUAGGACAGAUCACCGGCAGAUACAGAACUCUGUGUGAUUCCCAAAUGUUUCUCAAAUUGAUCCAUUUUCUUCUCUGUCCCCUCUCUGAGUCCAGGCUCCCUCGCGUCUUGCCCACGUUCUGUUCUUGCUGCGUUGGCGCUCACGUCUCAUGGUGGCAUUGCCCCUGGUGGCCGAUAGCCAGGCCCCCUCUAUCCUGGGCACCGGGGAGGCUCGCCUUUCCCGCACCUGCAAGACGUGCGGCCACAGAAUAAGAGCAGGAGCGACAGGGGUGCUUCCAGGUGGAAGCAUUUGCGCGGAUGUUCUCUGUCCUGUGGACGGGACCACCCACCUUCCCAACAGGGCCAGGGUCGGGGAGUGAGGAUGAUGGGGAAGAGGACCCUGGGAGCCCGCGACAAAUGUCAACGCGAGAGGAAUAAACCUUGUUUGUUUUGA